GGAAGGGCCGCCGCUCGAAAGCAAUGCUCCUGCACAAGCUUCCUAAUCAUGAUGUCACACUAGAAGCAGCAUGGCCCGAGAUAUUUGUUGAUAGAAAUGGCACUUACUGGGAUGUUCCAUCUUCGGUAUCACUAGACAUUGCAUCUCUGCUGUCUGAUUCUGGACUGAGGUAUCGAUUUGGCAUACACAAAAAUGGUGGCCAU
rnacentral:misc_RNA from 1 species